rnacentral:rRNA from 1 species
AACGAACGCUGGCGGCAGGCUUAACACAUGCAAGUCGAACGCCCCGCAAGGGGAGUGGCAGACGGGUGAGUAACACGUGGGAACGUGCCCUAAGGUUUGGAAUAUUCCCGGGAAACUGGGAGCAAUACCAAAUGUGUCCGCAAGGAGAAAGAUUUAUCGCCUUAGGAUCGGCCCGCGUCGGAUUAGGUGGUUGGUGGGGUAAUGGCCUACCAAGCCGACGAUCUGUAGCUGGUCUGAGAGGACGACCAGCCACACUGGGACUGAGACACGGCCCAGACUCCUACGGGAGGCAGCAGUGGGGAAUCUUGGACAAUGGGCGCAAGCCUGAUCCAGCCAUGCCGCGUGGAUGAUGAAGGCCCUAGGGUUGUAAAAUCCUUUCGUUGGGGACGAUAAUGACGGUACCCAAAGAAGAAGCUCCGGCUAACUUCGUGCCAGCCGCCGCCGUAAGAC